ACGUUACUUUUUGACUUAUUAAAAUUUUCGGUGUUAGCCCAUUUGGUCCAAGACAAUGAUAAUACUUAGCCACUCUUUCUUCCGAUUAUAACCUCACGCGCCUCUCUCCCUUCUACCAAAUAUCGGCCGAAUUACGCAUGACAAUUAUCUUGGUAAAGACCAUUUCCGAAGAUUUAAUGCGUGUCUAUUUAUUCUGACUCUUGCCUGUCCAACUUCUCUCUUCUGCUACAUUCCGACUUUUUGCUCUCAUAACCCUAAGUCCAUCAGUUUUCUCUUUUGUUUUAGUCCCCGUUUUUUUUUCUCCGGUGUCUUUUCUUUUCUCGCCGUUGGUUCUAUUUCUCAUUUUCGCAAGAAUUUUCAUCUUCUGUUACGGAACAUGGCGCAUGUAGACCUUCCUGCUAGGUUAUUCGCCGAUCGAGAAGAACCUGUGGGUGAUCGUGUUAACCAGUACUUCAAGCUCCACACGAUUAAAGUUGUCCUCAAGGCUUUACAACCGACAGAGCUUGAAUUAAUUCGGCCGUGUUUUGGGAAAUUGCUCGAUUCACACCGCCAUCGUUUAUUCAUCAGAAAAGAUAACUUUCACAAUACAAAUAAGGAUGUAAAACAUUUUUUGGAUCUUCACAAAUAGAUCUACAAAGUAUAGAUGCAGAUCUCAUGUUCAUCUCUCUCUCAACUCUGUUCUAAUUCAUUCAAAUCGAUAAGAAAACAUCGUCGUAUU